AUUGAACGCUGGCGGCAGGCCUAACACAUGCAAGUCGAACGAGUGGCGGACGGGUGAGUAAUGUCUGGGAACCUGCCUGAUGGCGGGGGAUAACUACUGGAAACGGUAGCUAAUACCGCAUACCAUCAGCUGUGCCCAGAUGGGAUUGGCGUGUUGGUGGGGUAACGGCGAGACAAGGCGACGACACCUAGCGGGUCUGAGAGGAUGACCGGCCAACCUGGAACUGAGACACGGUCCAGAGUCCGACGGUAGGCAGCAGUGGGGAAUAUUGCACAAUGGGCGCAAGCCUGAUGCAGCCAUGCCGCGUGUAGGAAGAAGGCCUUCGGGUUGUAAAGGACUUUCAGCGGGGAGGCGUUACCCGCAGAAGAAGCACCGGCUAACUCUGUGCCAGCCGCCGCGGUAAUAC
rnacentral:rRNA from 1 species